rnacentral:lncRNA from 1 species
CUCCUUCUCACCCAUCUCAAAAUUGUGCCAGCUUCUCUCUGAAACCAAACCAUGCCUGAGGCACCAAAGUAUGAAUCUUUAGAUGCUUUCGAUCUGACCCUCGACGAGAAGAACAAGAGGAAACUUCAGUUAAUCGAGGAACUGACCUCAAACGCCGACCAAGUCCAGAAACGUGUCUUGGAGGAGAUCUUGAUCCGUAAUGCUGACGUGGAGUAUCUCAGGCGUCAUGACCUCAACGGUCGCACAGACCGAGAGACGUUCAAGAACGUGAUGCCUGUUAUAACCUAUGAGGAUAUCCAGCCUGAGAUCAACAGGAUUGCUAACGGUGAUAAAUCUCCUAUCCUCUCUUCAAAGCCUAUCUCCGAGUUCCUCACCAGGUUCGUUAUUAACAUCCUCUCUUCUUCUUCUUCUUCUUCUUCUUCUUCUUCUUCAAAAUGCUCUGUUUUGCUCUGUUUUUGCUCUGUUUUGCUCUGUUUUACUCUGUUUUUCAAGAACCUAACGAAGCUUUCUAUAUGUUCUUUGACAGCUCUGGGACAUCUGGUGGGCAGAGGAAGCUAAUGCCGACAAUCGAAGAAGAACUAGACCGGAGAUCACUUCUCUACAGUUUCUUGAUGCCUGUGAUGAGCCAGUUCGUUCCUGGUCUCGACAAAGGCAAAGGAAUGUAUUUCUUGUUCAUCAAGUCUGAAUCCAAGACGCCAGGAGGCCUCCCUGCUCGUCCCGUCUUAACCAGUUACUACAAAUCUUCCCAUUUCAAAGAAAGACCCUUUGACCCUUACACCGACUACACAAGCCCCAACGAGACCAUCCUUUGCCCUGACUCUUACCAGAGCAUGUACUCUCAGAUGCUUUGUGGCUUAUGCCAACACCAGGAGGUUCUUCGUGUCGGUGCCGUUUUCGCCUCUGGUUUCAUCAGAGCUAUCAAGUUUCUUGAGAAGCACUGGAUCGAGCUGGUCCGUGACUUCAGAACCGGUACCUUAAGCUCCCUGAUCACUGAUCCUUCAGUGCGUGAGGCGGUCGCCAAGAUCCUUAAACCUAGUCCAAAACUCGCGGAUUUCGUGGAGUUCGAGUGUAAGAAGAAGUCUUGGCAAGGGAUCAUCACUAGGUUGUGGCCUAACACGAAGUAUGUGGAUGUGAUUGUGACAGGGACGAUGUCUCAGUACAUUCCAACUUUGGAUUACUACAGCAAUGGCUUGCCUCUUGUCUGCACAAUGUAUGCUUCUUCCGAAUGUUACUUUGGUGUGAACCUAAGGCCACUAUGCAAACCUAGCGAGGUCUCUUACACGCUCAUACCAACCAUGGCUUAUUUCGAGUUCUUGCCUGUUCAUAGAAACACAGGUGUUACUAACUCCAUCAAUCUACCUAAAGCACUCACGGAGAAAGAGCAACAAGAGCUUGUUGAUCUUGUUGAUGUUAAACUUGGUCAGGAGUACGAGCUUGUUGUCACCACUUAUGCCGGUAAGAAAAUAAAACAUAUUCUAUAAUAGCACAUAAUUAUUUUCAAAAAUAGUAUAAAAAUUAUAUUUAGAUUUUUGGGUUUAGUGAUUAUGGUUUACUAGUAUCGACUAGGUGGAGGUUAGGGUAAAAUUUAGAAUUCAGAGUAAUUUAGCUUUUCUUUUUUUGGCUAUUUUAGUGAUUUUUCUAUUGUAUGCUAUUUUUGACAUGGUAUAAAUUAUGAUAAGAGAUUUGCCCUAAGAAAAUAGAGAAUUUCUAUUAAUUUAUAACAAAAAAAAAAUACACUUUAAGGGUUUAGUCUUAUGUUUGUGUGCUUUGUGAUUUUGAUGCAGGGCUUUGUAGAUACAGAGUUGGUGAUUUGUUGAGAGUGACUGGAUUCAAGAACAAGGCACCUCAAUUUAGUUUCAUAUGCCGCAAGAAUGUGGUCUUAAGCAUAGAUUCCGACAAGACCGAUGAAGUUGAGCUUCAGAACGCGGUAAAGAACGCAAUGACACAUCUUGUCCCAUUUGAUGCCUCACUCUCUGAGUAUACUAGCUAUGCGGAUACAAGUUCUAUCCCUGGCCAUUACGUCCUGUUCUGGGAGCUAUGUUUGGAUGGAAACACACCGAUCCCUCCUUCUGUCUUUGAGGAUUGCUGCCUAGCCGUGGAAGAGUCGUUCAACUCUGUUUAUAGACAAGGAAGGGUUAGUGACAAGUCCAUAGGCCCACUCGAGAUCAAGAUUGUUGAGCCGGGGUUGCCUAGUUUCACCUUCCUUUCAUUCUCCUCCUCUAUAUAUAUCAACACUUCUCUUUCCUUCUUCCUCACACACUAAAAGCUCCUAACAAACAUAAGCUUAUCUCCUUCUCACCCAUCUCAAAAUUGUGCCAGCUUCUCUCUGAAACCAAACCAUGCCUGAGGCACCAAAGUAUGAAUCUUUAGAUGCUUUCGAUCUGACCCUCGACGAGAAGAACAAGAGGAAACUUCAGUUAAUCGAGGAACUGACCUCAAACGCCGACCAAGUCCAGAAACGUGUCUUGGAGGAGAUCUUGACCCGUAAUGCUGACGUGGAGUAUCUCAGGCGUCAUGACCUCAACGGUCGCACAGACCGAGAGACGUUCAAGAACGUGAUGCCUGUUAUAACCUAUGAGGAUAUCCAGCCUGAGAUCAACAGGAUUGCUAACGGUGAUAAAUCUCCUAUCCUCUCUUCAAAGCCUAUCUCCGAGUUCCUCACCAG